UUACAUAAGCCAAGCAAUACUCUCAAUGGCUGCCCAUCUGUCUCACUUCAUGCUUUUUUAAGUCAUCGCCAUAGAACUCUGUACAUCAAGGCCUAAGUUGACAUUCUGGUGUUGCUUGCCAUUAUGGAAAUUGUGUCUUCCUUGGCCCUGAUGGUUGUGUUCUUCCACUAGAACUCUGAUAUUCCAGAAUCUUCUCAUCCUGUUGCUAUGGGGGAACCCAGUACAGCAGCUAUAGCCCUGGUCUACAGAAGUUCUGAGCCUCUCAGUGAUGGUGGUGCUUUCUUCCCUGGUACAGUCUAUACAUUAUUUUGGUGAAGGAAGUGCCCUUUAAGCUCUCUCAGGAAAUAUUUGAAGCUAGCACAGAAGACUCUUACCCAGUGAGACACAGGAUCUUGAGGAGGAAGUCACCAGUGUGUAUGGAAAUUGUUCCCCAAAGCUGCACAUGACUUUCAGAACAAGAACACUGACCGUUCUGCUACAGGCUUCUGACCAGCUUUAACCAAAAGAAUGUGGAGAAGGCAACAUUACUCAAGUUCUGAAUUUGGGCUUCACGAAGGUUUGCAGCUUCUGCAAACCCAAGCAGUGGAAACCAUCCCAAAACCUUUGGGCAAACCCAAGCAAGCCUGUUGGUGAAUUAGAGACCAUAUGAACAGUGCACUGCCAUCUACUUAAGAUCCCAGACAUGAGUGAACUCAGACAUGAAGAGCUGAUCCUGACCCAGAUCAGAAGGACCACCCAGGUCUUCUCAGCCCCGCUUGAUAAC